GUAGUGUUCACUGGUCCAUCUCCUCUGCCUCCUUCCCAUUUUCCCCCAUAGCCCCACUCGUCUAACCCCCUCCUCUCCUUUUUCUUCUCCAUCUUCCCUCAGCAACAGCCACACCCCGGUGCUUCAGCUCCGCACACACAUCCACUGCAGACAGAGAGCUUCCCCCUUUGCAUCAAAUCACUCAAAGCCCUUUAGCAAUGACCUGACAUCACACCUUUAUACCUAUAUGUGCGUGUGUCCGUAUUUACAGGAGCUGCGUUGUGUUUUCUUUAUUUUUGUGUUUUUACACUACAAAGAUGUUGCACAGAUUCUACAUCAUCGCACACUGAAGCCACAUAAUCCGCCUUGCGCGCAGAGUUCUGCAUUUACGGUAGCUUCAUUUGCAACGGGGAGGGGCCACAGGGCCCCCAUACCGCUCUCAUUGUCACCACAGCUCUCUUCCCAUCCAAGGGCAUUAGUACCGCUCAGCAGCCUGAACCUCCAGGGAUCAUCUAUAGAGAAGAGUCAGAUUCUGUGCAGGGCCAUUGGACCCUAGGAUAAAAGACCUCAUUUUCUGCGUGACCCCUGGUAAGUUCAAUCAAAAAGCCUUCCAGCCUGAUGAGUUAAUCACCACCCGUGCGCCGUCAUGGGCCGCUCAGAGCUGCUGGUCUUUUAGCCGAUCAAAUGAAGCAGAUGUGAUUUACACGUAAGUUUAGAGCAGCUCAAGUUUAGCUCCCACUUGUUUGAGUGGGAACAGUUCUCCGGCUCGGUGCUGUGUGUGGGACAGUGCUUGCAUUUUGCAUCUCCAGGAUGACAUAAUAGAGUGUAUUUUGGCACUCGCGGCUGGAAGUUCCUCCUCGUGAUUGUAGCCUGUGUUUAGAAGGCAAUUCUGUCUUCAACAUUAUAUGGCCGUCUAUUUUUGCAUGAAACAACUCCCCAUCCGGAACUAAGCCAAAACGCAUUUGCUCAGAAGGCAGAUAGUGAAACGACUUAGCCAUGUUGUCCCACUGUAAUGCACACUAACAAUGGGCGGUGCAGUUCAAUAAAGGCCCUUGAGCCCCAAAUAAAAAUAAAAAAUGUAAAUAAGCGAUGAAUGAAAGCAUUGCUGCCCUGAUAACUGCUGUGAUAAACGCCUCUGAAAGUACACACAGAGUACCCUGCCCCUCUCAUGCCUCUCCCAGCCUGAGAUCAGAUGAAAACUGAACUGGGAGCUAAUACAAACAGGAAAGUAAACCCUUCAGAUCGUUGACGCACAACGUCCUGCUUCUACCAGCCUUUAUCUGCCGUAUUCCCACCACAAAUUCAGCACAGCUCCGUGCUUUUCAAACUGGGGGAGACGUGGAGUGCAUUUUUAUUUUAUUUUAGCUCGUAUGUUCUCAGGCCCAGCUAUUUCCUGUGCUGGGUGGCAUCCCACCAAAAGACAUGUGAACCAGUUGUGCUGGGAACCA
rnacentral:lncRNA from 1 species